AGGACGAACGCUGGCGGCGUGCUUAACACAUGCAAGUCGAACGGUAAGGCCCCUUCGGGGGUACACGAGUGGCGAACGGGUGAGUAACACGUGAGCAACCUGCCCUUGACUUCGGAAUACCAGUUGGAAACAGCUGCUAAUACCGGAUAUGACCUCUUCCUUCCUGGGUUGAGGUGGAAAGCUCCGGCGGUCAAGGAUGGGCUCGCGGCCUAUCAGCUUGUUGGUGAGGUAAUGGCUCACCAAGGCUUCGACGGGUAGCCGGCCUGAGAGGGCGACCGGCCACACUGGGACUGAGAUACGGCCCAGACUCCUACGGGAGGCAGCAGUGGGGAAUAUUGCACAAUGGGCGCAAGCCUGAUGCAGCAACGCCGCGUGCGGGAUGACGGCCUUCGGGUUGUAAACCGCUUUCAGUAGGGACGAAGCUAACGUGACGGUACCUACAGAAGAAGGACCGGCUAACUACGUGCCAGCAGCCGCGGUAA
rnacentral:rRNA from 1 species